GAUGAACGCUAGCGGCAGGCCUAAUACAUGCAAGCCGAACGACAAGAUUUUCAGCAAUGGAAAUCCUAGAGUGGCGUAAGGGUGCGUAACACGUAUGCAAUCUGCCCUCAACAGGAGGAUAGCUCCCCGAAAGGGGAAUUAAGACUCCAUAAGAUCUUAGAGUGGCAUCACUUAGAGAUUAAACUACCAGGGGUUGAGGAUGAGCAUGCGCAUGAUUAGUUAGUUGGCGGGGUAACGGCCCACCAAGACGAUGAUCAUUAGGGGAACUGAGAGGUUGAUCCCCCACACUGGCACUGAGAUACGGGCCAGACUCCUACGGGAGGCAGCAGUAGGGAAUAUUGGACAAUGGGUGCAAGCCUGAUCCAGCCAUGCCGCGUGCAA
rnacentral:rRNA from 1 species